GGAUCGGUGGCCGAGUGGCUUAAGGCACACGCUUGGAAAGCGUGCAUACGGUCAAACGUAUCGGGGGUUCGAAUCCCCCCUGAUCCG
rnacentral:tRNA from 4 species